UACGGAAGGCAGCAGUGGGGAAUAUUGCACAAUGGGCGAAAGCCUGAUGCAGCUAUGCCGCGUGUAUGAAGAAGGCCUUAGGGUUGUAAAGUACUUUCAUCGGGGAGGAAAAACAAAACUAAUAAUUUUAUUUCUUGACGUUACCCGAAAAAGAAGCACCGGCUAACUCCGUGCCAGCAGCCGCGGUAAUACGGAGGGUGCUAGCGUUAAUCAGAAUUACUGGGCGUAAAGAGCACGUAGGUGGUUUUUUUAAGUCAGAUGUGAAAUCCCUGGGCUUAACCUAGGAACUGCAUUUUGAAAUUGAAAUACUAGAGUAUCGUAGAGGGAGGUAGAAUUCUAGGUGUAGCGGUGAAAUGCGUAGAUAUCUGGAGGAAUACCUGUGGCGAAAGCGGCCUCCUAAACGAAUACUGACACUGAGGUGCGAAAGCGUGGGGAGCAAACAGGGAUUAGAUACCCGU
rnacentral:rRNA from 1 species